rnacentral:rRNA from 1 species
AGAGUUUGAUCCUGGCUCAGAACGAACGCUGGCGGCAGGCCUAACACAUGCAAGUCGAGCGCACCCUUCGGGGCGAGCGGCGGACGGGUUAGUAACGCGUGGGAAUGUACCCAGAUCUACGGAAUAGCCUCGGGAAACUGAGAGUAAUACCGUAUACGCCCUUCGGGGGAAAGAUUUAUCGGAUUUGGAUCAGCCCGCGUUAGAUUAGAUAGUUGGUGGGGUAAUGGCCUACCAAGUCUACGAUCUAUAGCUGGUUUUAGAGGAUGAUCAGCAACACUGGGACUGAGACACGGCCCAGACUCCUACGGGAGGCAGCAGUGGGGAAUCUUAGACAAUGGGCGCAAGCCUGAUCUAGCCAUGCCGCGUGUGUGAUGAAGGCCCUAGGGUCGUAAAGCACUUUCGCCAGGGAUGAUAAUGACAGUACCUGGUAAAGAAACCCCGGCUAACUCCGUGCCAGCAGCCGCGGUAAUACGGAGGGGGUUAGCGUUGUUCGGAAUUACUGGGCGUAAAGCGUACGUAGGCGGAUCAGAAAGUAGGGGGUGAAAUCCCGAGGCUCAACCUCGGAACUGCCUCCUAAACUCCUGGUCUUGAGUUCGAGAGAGGUGAGUGGAAUUCCAAGUGUAGAGGUGAAAUUCGUAGAUAUUUGGAGGAACACCAGUGGCGAAGGCGGCUCACUGGCUCGAUACUGACGCUGAGGUACGAAAGUGUGGGGAGCAAACAGGAUUAGAUACCCUGGUAGUCCACACCGUAAACGAUGAAUGCCAGUCGUCGGGCAGUAUACUGUUCGGUGACACACCUAACGGAUUAAGCAUUCCGCCUGGGGAGUACGGUCGCAAGAUUAAAACUCAAAGGAAUUGACGGGGGCCCGCACAAGCGGUGGAGCAUGUGGUUUAAUUCGACGCAACGCGCAGAACCUUACCAACCCUUGACAUCCUGUGCUAACUCGAGAGAUCGAGCGUUCACUUCGGUGACGCAGUGACAGGUGCUGCAUGGCUGUCGUCAGCUCGUGUCGUGAGAUGUUCGGUUAAGUCCGGCAACGAGCGCAACCCACAUCCUUAGUUGCCAGCAGGUUAAGCUGGGCACUCUAGGGAAACUGCCCGUGAUAAGCGGGAGGAAGGUGUGGAUGACGUCAAGUCCUCAUGGCCCUUACGGGUUGGGCUACACACGUGCUACAAUGGCAGUGACAAUGGGUUAAUCCCCAAAAGCUGUCUCAGUUCGGAUUGGGGUCUGCAACUCGACCCCAUGAAGUCGGAAUCGCUAGUAAUCGCGUAACAGCAUGACGCGGUGAAUACGUUCCCGGGCCUUGUACACACCGCCCGUCACACCAUGGGAGUUGGUUCUACCCGACGGCCGUGCGCUAACCUUUUGGAGGCAGCGGACCACGGUAGGAUCAGCGACUGGGGUGAAGUCGUAACAAGGUAGCCGUAGGGGAACCUGCGGCUGGAUCACCUCCUU